CCCUGACAGCCACUCAGCAGUCGCGUUGAGGAGCGGAGGAAGUCCGAGUCGCCCUGUCGGUCUCUGCACUUGUUAUUAUGUCCCGGCUCAGCUCGUCUUCUUACACUUUUCCACUCUGGACUUUAAUCCUGUGCUCGGCUUUCUUAAUUGCACCUGUUCAAGCCUGAAUGUGAAGAUGAGGAAGAAGAAGAUCUGGAUCCCCACAGACUGUUAACAAGAUGACAUCAUGGAUUUCAGGCCUUUCCUUGUGGUCCCACUGUGGACUUCAGUUCUUUACUUGGAUUUUGUUAAAGGAUCAUUUGUAGUGGAUGUGACACAGAGCUCCUAUCAGGCAGAGGAGAACCACGACAUCACACUGGAGUGGACGUUCACCACCAAACCAGACACGUCCAUUUCAUCACUGGAGAUCCUCUGUUACCUGAAUACUGAUAAAAAACAAUCAACUCUGUAUUUUCUUUUUGAUGAUGUCGAGUCCUCAGAGGAUGAAGAGUUUUCAGGACGAGUCCAGAGUGACAAAGACGCCCUCAGAGAAGGACGAAUCAGACUCCAGCUGUCCAGACUCAGGACUGAGGACUCGGGUCUGUACCUGUGUGAGGUGGACACAGGUUAUGGCCGCGGCUACAACAGCUGCAGAGUCACCGUCUCUGGUAAGAC
rnacentral:lncRNA from 1 species